CACAUGCGCAACUAACAGCUAUGCUACUGUAAAAUGUGUUGGAGGCAUGUCUGAAGCCGUGUCAAACUUUGAGUGUCAGUUGUUAUCAUAGCUCAGUUGACUCUGAUCACAGUGGUCUUUCAUAAAAGAGAAAAUGUUGUCUGUGCUGAUUUACGAAGAUCUAUCGUUAUUCAAGUGUCGAAUGUAUGUCAUAAAUUUGUGUUGAACAAUGAUUUUGAAAGAUAGGUUAUUGUAGAUAAUGUAGUAUUCAUGGAAAACGUGGUUUUCUUAAAAAUGAUGUGUUUAUUGUUAAAA